CCUACGGGUGGCAGCAGUGAGGAAUAUUGGUCAAUGGGCGGUAGCCUGAACCAGCCAAGUAGCGUGCAGGAUGACUGCCCUACGGGUUGUAAACUUCUUUUAUACGGGAAUAACGCGCCUUAUGUGUAGUGCUUUGCAUGUACCUUAUGAAUAAGGACCGGCUAAUUCCGUGCCAGCAGCCGCGGUAAUACGGAGGAUUCAAGCGUUAUCCGGAUUUCUUGGGUUUAAAGGGUGCGUAGGCGGUCGGAUAAGUUAGAGGUGAAAUUCCGAGGCUCAAAUUUGGAAUUGCCUUUGAUACUGGUCGGCUAGAGAGUAGUAGAGGUAGGCGGAAUGUAUGGUGUAGCGGUGAAAUGCUUAGAGAUCAUAAAGAACACCGAUUGCGAAGGCAGCUUACUAAGCUACUACUGACGUUGAGGCACGAAAGCGUGGGGAGCAAACAGGAUUAGAUACCCGAGUAGUC
rnacentral:rRNA from 1 species